AGUGAUCAAGAAACUCUCUUGCUUCUUGAAGCUGUGGAGCUCUACAAUGAAAACUGGGUUCAGAUUGCGGACCAUGUCGGUUCCAAAUCAAAAGCUCAGUGUAUUCUUCAUUUUCUUCGGUUACCUGUGGAGGAUGGUCUUUUGGAUAAUGUUGAGCUUCCAGGUGUUACUGAUCCGGCAAACCCUACAAAUGGAUAUGAUCACAGAGGAGGAGCUUCAAAUGGGGCUUUACCUGGUGAUUCUGUUUACUUCGUCUCCAACUGUAAAUUAUUGGCCGUGAUUAUGUUCUUUGACAUGCCAUUCUCAUUGUCCACUUACUUUUGCAGGAACUUCUGAGCAAGAUUCUGACACUGAGAUCAAUCUUCCUUUUGUGAAGUCUCCCAAUCCGGUUAUGGCAUUGGUAUGUGAUUUUUUUCUAUAAUUACUUUUAUUUAAUAUAUUUUAGAAUUUGAGAUAAAAGUAAUUGAAAACAUUGGUGGAAUAAGAAAAACAAUAAAGUAAAAUAAGAAGAGUAGAGAUUCUUGUGAUGAGAAAAAAAAGCGUAUGACAAUAUAUUCUUUUUAGUUUAAGGUCAUAAGAGUCUUUUAUACAAGAAAAAGUGUGUCUCAAGUGAUACGUGUCUUGUUGUGUAAUUGUAAAGUGAGAAAAUGUCUCUUUGUGUAAAAAAUUCUUAUUAAACUGAAAGUGUUUGAACUGAUUUUUAAAGCUACUGUAUCAGUCUAAACCCUUUGAAAUUGUAACUUGGUUUUUGUGUACUUCUUAUCAACCGGAAACAUUGGUUGUGAUAGUUACAUUGAGGGGAAGAAGAAUCAUUGGUAUUUAGAGCCAUUGCUAAUAUUCUUAGAAUAGCUCAAAAUAAAUUAAAAAAGUAUUCAAAGAAGCAUAGUGUGAGGAUUGCAGUUUACCCAACGCACCGUAUGAAUCAUAGAGAUUUUUCACCACAUUAUAUAUCUUCUUUAUGGAUGUAUGAACCGGUCAACCAAAAAGUUGUAACUCUUCUUUCUGACCCUUAUCAGUCUAAACCAGUUGAAAUUUAAUUUGGUUUACUGUAACCGAAAACGCAAACCGAAUGUAUUUGUUUUCCAUCUUGCAAAACCUCUGUUUCGUUAAGAAGGUUAGGUCUCCCUGGUGAAUGAACGAAUAAAUUACAGAGACUAGCGAAAGCCAAUGGCAGAAAGAAGAUUUGCUGUUGCUGCUCGGAAGCUGGAAACUAGAGAGAGACUCGGAGCAUAGAAGAAGAGAGGAAAAGGAAAGCCAUUCGACUACUUUAAGCUCUCUUCGCUUCUUAAGGCUCAAUUCAAUUCUCACGAAUCAGAGACCAGAUAAAAAAAAUGCCAGCUACUGAAGGUAAAAUUGCAUAAAGGAACUCUCUUUCCAUCUCAAAAUCCGAUUUUGGAUUGGGAUUUGAAUUACCCAUGUAGAUCGUAUCAAUGGGUAAUGACUCGAUUCUCCGCUCUUUCGCAGAUAGAAGAGGGAAAUGGAAACGGCGGAGGCGAGGCGGGAGGAGACCUAAGCAAGAGGAGGAAGACAUCGAGGAAGAAGACGAUGAGGAGAUGGAGGAAGCUGAUAAUAAUGCCGACGAGCUUCACAAAAACGGCGCCGCAGCACCCGAUCCAGGACCAGGUACUAGCGAGGUAGUUGAAGAUAGCGGUGAGCGCAUCUCUGGUUUCCCUUCUGUGGUGAGGCGCGUUGUGACACGCCCUCACGCGUCUGUGACGGCUGUUGUGGCGGCUGAGAGGGGGUGUUUGAGAGGGGAGGUUAAAGGGCAGGGCUUGUUGCUUCCUUCUCUGGAGAAUAUUUCGUUUGGGCAGUUGCAGGCGUUGUCUUGUGUACCGGCUGAUUCUUUGUGCUUUGAUCCUGAGAGGAGUGAUGGAGCGUUGUCUUAUGUUAUCUCUCCACCCUCUAUUAUGGAAGGAGAAGGUGUUGUUAAACGGUUUGGGGAUAAAGUUCAUGUCUUGCCUAUGCAUUCAGGUUUGUUUCGUUCUUAGUGUCCUUCAACUCAUGAAUUUGCAUAUAAGUUGAUGACAUGUAUAGGCUUGUUGUCCUAGAUGAAGUUCUUAUCUUUGUUUUAUCUAGUUUCUGCUUCCUGGUUUAUGUUACUCUGGUUUGGAGCAGUCCUAUGUUGGCUUAUGUUAUGUUGCACUUUGAAUGGAUUACGCAAAGUGAUGUCCUUCUAAGUUUCACUUAGGCUAUGUUCUUGUAGUCAUGUAGCUCAGAUGUAUCCUGUUUUCCUUCUUAAUCUUUUAUUUUCUGAUCAUUUUGUUUCUGUUUGAGCAGAUUGGUUUGCACCAAACACAGUGGAUCGCCUUGAAAGGCAAGUGGUGCCACAGUACUUCUGUGGAAAAUCGCCAAACCAUACACCAGAAAGUUAUAUGCGAUUCAGGAACGCCAUUGUUUUGAAAUAUGUGGAUAACCCUGAGAAGACACUGACGAUUUCUGAUUGCCAAGGAUUGGUAGAUGGUGUUGACGCUGAAGAUCUUGCACGAGUUUUCCGUUUUCUUGACCACUGGGGGAUAAUCAAUUACUGUGCCACUUACCAGUGUCACCCUGGGCCUUCUAAGGGUGUGUCAGAUGUUAGGGAGGAUGCAAAUGGUGAGGUCCAUGUACUGUCUGCUGCUUUGACAUCUAUUGAUAGUUUGAUCAGAUUUGAUAAGCCCAUCUGUAGACACAAGGCAGAUGAAGUCAGUUCAUCCUUGCCGUCUUCGGAUGUUGACCUCCCUGACUUAGACAUCAGGAUUCGUGAACACCUAUGCGAGAACCACUGCAACCAUUGUUCUCGCCCGCUUCCAACUGUGUACUUCCAAUCACAAAAGAAGGUUCUUAUCAUGUUUCCUCUACCUAAAGUUCUUUGUGUUUCAUUAUCUGAUGCAAUAGACUCACAAACCUUAUCUCUACAUUUCAGGAGGAUGUACUCUUAUGCUCUGAUUGUUUUCACGAUGCAAAAUUUGUGGUUGGACAUUCUUGUAUUGACUUUGUAAGAGUGGAUACAAGCAAAGAUUACAGGGAUCAAGAUGGAGAGAAUUGGAGUGAUCAAGAAACUCUCUUGCUUCUUGAAGCUGUGGAGCUCUACAAUGAAAACUGGGUUCAGAUUGCGGACCAUGUCGGUUCCAAAUCAAAAGCUCAGUGUAUUCUUCAUUUUCUUCGGUUACCUGUGGAGGAUGGUCUUUUGGAUAAUGUUGAGCUUCCAGGUGUUACUGAUCCGGCAAACCCUACAAAUGGAUAUGAUCACAGAGGAGGAGCUUCAAAUGGGGCUUUACCU
rnacentral:lncRNA from 1 species